rnacentral:rRNA from 1 species
CCGUAGCCGCGGUAAUACGAAGGGGGCUAGCGUUGCUCGGAAUUACUGGGCGUAAAGGGCGCGUAGGCGGACAGUUCAGUCGGGGGUGAAAGCCCGGGGCUCAACCUCGGAAUUGCCUUCGAUACUGGCUGUCUUGAGUAUGAGAGAGGUGUGUGGAACUCCGAGUGUAGAGGUGAAAUUCGUAGAUAUUCGGAAGAACACCAGUGGCGAAGGCGACACACUGGCUCAUUACUGACGCUGAGGCGCGAAAGCGUGGGGAGCAAACAGGAUUAGAUACCCCCGUAGUCCCUGUCUCUUAUAC